ACCCGGCUAGCUCAGUUGGUAGAGCAUGAGACUCUUAAUCUCAGGGUAGUGGGUUGGUGCCUCACAUUGGAUG
rnacentral:tRNA from 1 species